AUUGAACGCUGGCGGCAGGCCUAACACAUGCAAGUCGAACGAGUGGCGGACGGGUGAGUAAUGUCUGGGAAACUGACUGAUGGAGGGGGAUAACUACUGGAAACGGUAGCUAAUACCGCAUACCAUCGGAUGUGCCCAGAUGGGAUUAGCUAGUGGGUGGGGUAAAGGCUCACCUAGGCGACGAUCCCUAGCUGGUCUGAGAGGACGACCAGCCACACUGGAACUGAGACACGGUCCAGACUCCUACGGGAGGCAGCAGUGGGGAAUAUUGGACAAUGGGCGAAAGCCUGACGCAGCCAUGCCGCGUGUGUGAAGAAGGUCUUCGGGUUGUAAAGUACUUUCAGCGGGGAGGCGGUACCCACAGAGGAAGCACCGGCUAACUCCGUGCCAGCAGCCGCGGUAAUUC
rnacentral:rRNA from 1 species